AGAUUGAACGCUGGCGGCAUGCCUUACACAUGCAAGUCGAACGGCAGCACGGGAGCAAUCCUGGUGGCGAGUGGCGAACGGGUGAGUAAUAUAUCGGAACGUGCCCAGUCGUGGGGGAUAACGCAGCGAAAGCUGUGCUAAUACCGCAUACGAUCUAUGGAUGAAAAUGGGGGAUCGCAAGACCUCAUGCUCGUGGAGCGGCCGAUAUCUGAUUAGCUAGUUGGUGGGUAAAGGCUACCAAGGCAUCGAUCAGUAGCUGGUCUGAGAGGACGACCAGCCACACUGGGACUGAGACACGGCCCAGACUCCUACGGGAGGCAGCAGUGGGAAUUUUGGACAUGGGCGCGAAGCCUGAUCCAGCAAUGCCGCGUGAGUGAGUGAAGGUCCGUUAGGGUUGUAAAGCUUCGUUUACCCGAGACUGAGUAAUGACUAGUAUACGG
rnacentral:rRNA from 1 species